rnacentral:rRNA from 1 species
CAUGCCGAACACAGAAGUUAAGCCUCUUAACGCCGAUGGUACUACGAUGGAAACGUCGUGGGAGAGUAGGUAGUCGCCAAAC